GGCGGCGUGCCUAAUACAUGCAAGUCGAGCGAAUGGAUUAAGAGCUUGCUCUUAUGAAGUUAGCGGCGGACGGGUGAGUAACACGUGGGUAACCUGCCCAUAAGACUGGGAUAACUCCGGGAAACCGGGGCUAAUACCGGAUAACAUUUUGAACCGCAUGGUUCGAAAUUGAAAGGCGGCUUCGGCUGUCACUUAUGGAUGGACCCGCGUCGCAUUAGCUAGUUGGUGAGGUAACGGCUCACCAAGGCAACGAUGCGUAGCCGACCUGAGAGGGUGAUCGGCCACACUGGGACUGAGACACGGCCCAGACUCCUACGGGAGGCAGCAGUAGGGAAUCUUCCGCAAUGGACGAAAGUCUGACGGAGCAACGCCGCGUGAGUGAUGAAGGCUUUCGGGUCGUAAAACUCUGUUGUUAAGGGAAGAACAAGUGCUAGUUGAAUAAGCUGGCACCUUGACGGUACCUAACCAGAAAGCCACG
rnacentral:rRNA from 1 species